UUAUAAUUUUUGAAUUAGCCUCAUUGUUAUUAUACCACAGUGCAGUUGAUCUAAGGCUAAUAAAAGCCAGAU